rnacentral:rRNA from 1 species
AUUGAACGCUGGCGGAAUGCUUUACACAUGCAAGUCGAACGGUCUCUUUGGCAACCCCUCGAGAGUGGCGAUCGGGUGAGUAAUAUAUCGGAACGUGCCCAGUCGUGGGGGAUAACGUCUUUAAAGUUACGCUAAUACCGCAUACGAUCUAAGGAUGAAAGCGGGGGAUCGCAAGACCGCGCGCGAUUGGAGCGGCCGGUAUCAGAUUAGGUAGUUGGUGGGGUAAAGGCUCACCAAGCCAACGAUCUGUAGCUGGUCUGAGAGGACGACCAGCCACACUGGAACUGAGACACGGUCCAGACUCCUACGGGAGGCAGCAGUGGGGAAUUUUGCAAAAGGCACGCAAGUCUGAUCCAGCCAUUCCGCGUGCAGGAUGACAGACCUCGGGUGGGAAACUGCUUUUGUACGGAACGGAAAGGUCACGCUUAAUCAGGGGGGCUCAUGACGGUACCGUAAGAAUAAGCACCGGCUAACUAAGUGCCAGCCGCCGCGGUAA